rnacentral:lncRNA from 10 species
UGUCAGGUCCCAAAACGAAGAGGAGGGCAGGUCUCAAACUAGGAGAAGAGAUUUACACUUUCUCUCACCAAAAGGAGGAUUGUAAUCCCCCAAAUAUGGUUGAUCAGUGAGUGACCCUUGAGUUAGCAGAAGCUGGAGCUACUAUGUAAUGGCCGUAUGGAUGAGGAGACAGUCAGAGGCAAGGUGUCCACAUGGUUCAGUGAGGGUCUUCCUCUACCUUUAGCUUGGCCUCUUUGAACAUAUCUAAUUGCAGUCUUCCAGGGUAAUUUUGAAGACAGAAACUUUAAGAUGAUAAUAUCAGCUUAAUAAAGACAGGAGGUUUUGUUCCCAUCUCCCCCCGUUCUCUUCUGGCCCCUGCAGUAUCGUCAGCAUAAUGCCCAACACACAGUAGGUGCUCAAUAAAUAUCUGUGGAGUAAAUACAAUGAUGCUAUUGCUGGAAUUAAUGGAUAGUCAAGCCAGCUUCAGGAAAGGGUGUGGAAUUGUCACAAAAAGAUUCUUAAAGGAAACACGGUCUAUCAAUUCUGCUUUUAGAGUGUGUGUAUGUGCUAACAGAGUUCAAUACAUCUCUUUCCUUCUUCCUCUAAGUCACACAAACAUUUUUUCCUGCUUAUAUAAUAAAAUACAGUUAUUUUUAAAAGUUUAAAAAUAAAGUCACCCUUCAAAGAACAAGUGAAUACAUAUAUGAAAUACGGUUAGAGAUUGUUUUGAAUCAUUUUGGAAUUUG